AGUGAACGCUGGCGGUAGGCCUAACACAUGCAAGUCGAACGGCAGCACAGUAAGAGCUUGCUCUUACGGGUGGCGAGUGGCGGACGGGUGAGGAAUACAUCGGAAUCUACUUUUUCGUGGGGGAUAACGUAGGGAAACUUACGCUAAUACCGCAUACGACCUACGGGUGAAAGUAGGGGAUCUUCGGACCUUGCGCGAUUGAAUGAGCCGAUGUCGGAUUAGCUAGUUGGCGGGGUAAGGGCCCACCAAGGCGACGAUCCGUAGCUGGUCUGAGAGGAUGAUCAGCCACACUGGAACUGAGACACGGUCCAGACUCCUACGGGAGGCAGCAGUGGGGAAUAUUGGACAAUGGGCGCAAGCCUGAUCCAGCCAUACCGCGUGGGUGAAGAAGGCCUUCGGGUUGUAAAGCCCUUUUGUUGGGAAAGAAAAGCAGCAGGUUAAUACCCCGCUGUUCUGACGGUACCCAAAGAAUAAGCACCGGCUAACUUCGUG
rnacentral:rRNA from 1 species